UUAAUAAAAAAGAGUAUAAUUUUCCCUUAAACUCCCUAUCAUUUUUUUUAUUUUUUAUACUUUAAAUUAUUUAGAUAGAAACAAUCACUUUUUGAAGUCCUUAUCUAACUUAAACUUUUUUUUUUCAACCUUUUAUUUAGAUUAAAAACAUCAAAAAGAAAACAAAUAGAAGCAAAAACGUUUCAUUCACGACAGAGAGAAAAACAAUUUUCUUUAUCCUUUCCUUCAUCCACGAUAGACAGAAAAAAAUUAUUCUCUACCGAAAACAAAAACUAAGCAUCUUUAAUUAUUUUGCCAACAAAUAAUAAAAGACACUUCAUCGUCAGAAUACCAAGUACAAGAAUUAAAGAUCACUUGAUACUUGGGACAAUACUUUGAAAGAUUUCGAGUGUUUAGGAAUGAACGUUGGAUUUUUAUGUACAAGGAUAAGUAAGCUUGAUAGUUUAUCAAGUGAAUCGAAAGACGUUCUUGAAUCAAAGAAAGUUGAGCUAGCUGAAGCAAAAGAGGAAAUGAGGAUUAUUGAAGAAAAGGUAUUAAAAGUGAAACAAGUGAUGAAGAAUGUAGAAUCUGAAAUUCGGGCUUUAACAAAGAAAGAUGCAUACUUUGAGCUCAAUUUCAAGGCAUUGACUGCUUCUCCAUGGUAGAAAAAAAUUGGUUAUAAUUAUUUAUUGAAGAAGCCUUUUGAGAUUCCUAGCAGGGAUAUAUAACUCUUUCUGCUAAUUUUUUGUGAGGUUAUAUGAGCCAUCAUAUCCUUUUUCUAGUGUAAUUGGCUAAACUUUUUGUAAAUGUUCGAAAUUAAAUAUUUAUUUAUAUCGGAUCGUAUGUUCAUUAGGA